GUGGGGAAUUUUGGACAAUGGGCGCAAGCCUGAUCCAGCAAUGCCUCGUGCAGGAAGAAGGCCUUCGGGUUGUAAACUGCUUUUGUACGGAACGAAACGGUCCGGGUUAAUACCCUGGGCUAAUGACGGUACCGUAAGAAUAAGCACCGGCUAACUACGUGCCAGCAGCCGCGGUAAUACGUAGGGUGCAAGCGUUAAUCGGAAUUACUGGGCGUAAAGCGUGCGCAGGCGGUUUUGUAAGACAGGCGUGAAAUCCCCGGGCUCAACCUGGGAGCUGCAAUGGUGACUGCAAGGCAGGAGUGCGGCAGAGGGGGAUGGAAUUCCGCGUGUAGCAGUGAAAUGCGUAGAUAUGCGGAGGAACACCGAUGGCGAAGGCAAUCCCCUGGGCCUGCACUGACGCUCAUGCACGAAAGCGUGGGGAGCAAACAGGAUUAGAUACCCGUGUAGUCC
rnacentral:rRNA from 1 species